rnacentral:ncRNA from 1 species
AGCCCUCCCGUAUCGGGGUCAGGAUACGGAAACUCCCUGUUGGCACCUCAAAGGCCCGGCCCUGCGCCGGGCCCUUUUU